rnacentral:rRNA from 1 species
AGCGAACGCUGGCGGCAGGCUUAACACAUGCAAGUCGAGCGGGCACCUUCGGGUGUCAGCGGCAGACGGGUGAGUAACACGUGGGAACGUACCCUUCGGUUCGGAAUAACGCUGGGAAACUAGCGCUAAUACCGGAUACGCCCUUAUGGGGAAAGGUUUACUGCCGAAGGAUCGGCCCGCGUCUGAUUAGCCAGUUGGUGGGGUAACGGCCUACCAAGGCGACGAUCAGUAGCUGGUCUGAGAGGAUGAUCAGCCACACUGGGACUGAGACACGGCCCAGACUCCUACGGGAGGCAGCAGUGGGGAAUAUUGGACAAUGGGCGCAAGCCUGAUCCAGCCAUGCCGCGUGAGUGAUGAAGGCCUUAGGGUUGUAAAGCUCUUUUGUCCGGGACGAUAAUGACGGUACCGGAAGAAUAAGCCCCGGCUAACUUCGUG